AAAAUAUUUGUAAAUAUCGUUAAUCAUAGUUAGUAAUACAUACGAACUAUAUAAGUUCUGUGCAGUUAUGCAUUGGUAAAUAUGCUAAAACGAUAGUCUCCUGUUGAGAAAUUUAUAAAUUGCUUUGUUAGGUAUUGGAAUUAGAACAUACCUUAACAAUCAUAGAUUGAAAAAAAUAAAUGUUUAUUUUCCAAAUACCUAUCACUUAAAGCUUAGGCGAAAAUUAAAAAAAAAAAAAAAAAAAAAACAAAUGCGCACGCAUAAAUCAAUAAGAGGAAAAACAAAACCACUUAUUCGAUACACUGGCGCUAGCGCUGAUCACGAGCUGAUGCGCUAGUGGCGCUACACAGACCAAAAUUAUUUAUCUUUUACGACAAUUUUGUUAUCGUAUUUUUGCUAAUUUUUUUAAACAUUAAAAUUGUCUAUGAUAAUAAGGAACUGUCAAAAGAGCUAUGAACUCUACAGAGGCACUCCAAGAGCAGCGACAUUUUAUCUAUAGCUGUCAACAUUGUCAUUAGCGACAUCUAGUGAACACCGUAGUAUUCUUAACUAUUUACAGCAGUCGCAAAGUUAUAUAGAAGCAGAGAAGUCGAAAAACAGGAGAUGUCACCACUUGUUAUGAGAAUUAUAGAUAACACAUGAUGGCAGGUAAGUCGAAUUUUAGGGAAAUUUCUAGUUUACUACUAUUCAUCAGUGUGAAGAACUGUUGACAAAUGAUUGUAAAUUGGUUGUUGUUUUACGUGAGGCAGUUCAUAACGAACUAGAAAAAUACCUAAGCGUGAAUAAAGGAACGAGGAACAAUUAAAGUCCAGCUGUUGUUUGCAGAAAACAAAAAUAAAAGUGAAAUUGUAAAGAUUAUGAAAUGUCUACAUAGUACCGUAAGGUAUAUUUUAAAUCGGUACAAGAUGACCACAGGACACGAAAACUUGAUACGAAGUAAAAGGAAAAGAAUUACAUCUGCAAGAGAAGACAGACAGUUAAUGCGAAUUUCUUUGAAAAAUCGUAAGAAAAUAUCUGAAUUGGCUGCUGAACUAAGUGAGACACUGAGAAAAAAGAUUUCUGCUAGAACUGCUAGAAGAAGGCUCCAGAAUGCUGAGUUCAAGGGUUGCAAGGCAAGGAAGUAGCCAUUGUUGUCUGAGGAGUACAAGAAAUUUUAAAAAUAAACAAGACGGUGAAAAUUGAUUUACAAACUAGCUCGAUACCCACUUAUCAAUAAUAAUAAAGGUGACAGAGUGAAACAUAGCAAAUGUUUAAAUAUCAAUAAAUAAUUGAUAACAGUACAAUAAUGUCAAAUAAAUUAGUAAAUUCCUAUUUCAUAUUUACUUGUGUCAAAUUCUAAAAGAAAUAAAGUGGAAUAAGAACAGUUAAACGGGGGUUAUUAACCGCUGUUGGUGGGUUGUUUGUAAGUUUUCUAACAAAUAUACUUAAGUUGAAUGACGUUUUGUUCAUAUUAUUGGUAAACAUCUUUAAACCUUCACUUUUAAAUCUUAGCAUAAAAGGUUGCCUGGAAGAGAUCGCUCUUAGCGAUAUGGCCGCCCAUUGUUUUCUCAGUGUAAUAUUUUUUUGUAAUUGUUUGUAUUUAUAAUAAGUUUACUAUUGUGAUCUUAUGGUGGAAACAAACAGUUUCUAUCUAUCUAUAUAAAGUGCUGUGUCACGAUGUUCGUUCAUGUUAAUCUCCGAAAUCGAUUUACCGUAUUUAAUGAAAUUUUAUCAAUGUGUAUUAUUGAUUUCAACUCAUGAGAUAGGAUUAUGUUUCAAUCAAUCCGGGUCAUCUAGACCCUCCUAGGAGGGUUAGGUGGGCGCGUCGGGGCGGCUCCUUUUGCCUCGGCUUAAACUCCGGGAGCGACUAUCCCCAGGUCACUAGCACUGAGCUCUUUCUUGAUUGUAUUUAUACUAAUAAUAAGUUGCGGUAUCAUUGUACUUCCUCGAGUAAAUAAAUGAGUGCUAUCAUUUAUUUAAUUAUAUUUACCAACUAAGUAAGUAAGACAGUUUCCCAAUUAGCUCCCUUAGCAAUCACACUAUUUACAAACAACAACAUUUAUUUAUUGAACAUUUUCUAAAUAAUUUAAUGCCAUUCUGCGAAACUCGACAAGUUUACAAGUUUCCUACCUCUAUUCCUUUUAUAGUUUACCUGUUUCACUAGCUCUAUUCUUCUCAAUGGAAUAUGGAAAAAGUUCCUUCGACGUGCUUGAUCAUAAUUAGAAGGCUCUCGAAUGGACAUCGAUGUCAAGAUGCUAUGAUUAUAUUUAUUCCCUUUAAACACUUCAAAAUAUAUUCAAAGACAAUUUUCGUUUUACUUCAUUUAUAUGAAUAAUUACCAUAUCUUCAAAACCAAUUCUUAUUAUAGAAUUAUAAACAAAUUCAAGUUUUGGCACUAUAUUAAUGAUAUUUUUAACAUUAACUCUCUUAUUCAUAAAAACGCCAAAUAUUUCCUUAUUAACCUAUUUUAGCCACUGAAGUAUUUUGUCUUUUCUCAGUUCAGUUAGGCUUUGGGGAGGUUUUAAGAGGGACGUUGCUACCCGUCCCUCGACCAUUAAGCUCCCUUAGUCGCCUCUUACGACACCCACGGGAAAGGAAGGGGUAGCUCAUUCCAUGCCGGGACUACUCGGCAUAACGGCGCUUUGGAAUAUAUCAAAGUAUAAUGAUAUUAGAAAAUUCUUACUGGAAAAUUAUAAUAAAGUAACAACUAAUAGUUUAUAUUUAAGUAUUUAAACUGAAUAAAUGCUGUGAAGAAGACUUUUCUUA